UAGGCCCCUGCUUGGCCACUGCCCAGGAUCUGCAAGCUGCAUGCCCAUGAGUUUUGGCACCCAUUUGGACUUUCACAAUCAGAGAUGGCAGCAAUGAAAGCAUCAACAUUGAAAGCUCCCAGGCAUUGGUAUUCUCAUCUGGUAUAUGCAAGAUACUGGCAACAUUGUCAUCAAACAAUGGCUUGGAUGCAAAGCCACCAGAAUGCCUACAGGAAGGCUGUGGUGUUUCAGUCUUCCAUGGUACUUCCCGCCUGCACUUCUUCCCCAAAGCUCUUACAGUAACCAGGCUGUGUACCCUCAGUCUUUCUAUGACCAUCAUGUGGCCUGGCAGGACUCCCCCUGCAGUUCUUCACAUUUCAGAGGGUCUGGGCACCAUCCACAUGACAGUAGUAGGAUCCAGGCAUCCACAAGAGAAGACCAAGCUUUGUCCAAAGAGGAAGAGAUGGAGACCGAGUCAGAUACAGAGGUAGAAUGCGACCUGAGCAAUAUGGAAGUCACCGAAGAGCUCCACCAGUACUUUGCAGAGACCAGAAGGCACAGAGAAUGACAGAGGCAGCAGCAGCUGGAUGCAGAGCGCCUGGACGGCUAUGUGAAUGCUGACCAUGACCUGAACUGCGAUAUCUGCCGGUCAGUAGAGGCCCCAAAUGAGGGGCCUGGUGAGUGGUGCCAGGCCGAGAUAAAGCGUUUGUACAGGGACAGCGCCGCCAAGAUCCAGGCCAUGGAGGCUACAGUGCAGCUGACCUUUGAAAGCAGCCCAAGUACUGGGCGGUCAUCCCCCUGAAGUUUUGAGCUUGGGGCAAAGGGCUCCAAGCCUCUCCCUCUUCCUUCUGGGUACACGCUCUUCAUCUCUCCUUAUGUCCAUUUCUCAGAGAGAGGGAACUUUGUGCUGAGGUACAGGCAUGUUCACCACAGUCCCAGCGGGCCUGUCACGGGGUGGAUGAACUAUGCCAGCCACUUGGAGGUCAGCAGGACAUGUUCUGUUGCCAACAUGAUAAAUUUUCUCCUGACAUAAAAGAAUUUUGUACAUGUUAUACU